UAGGGAAUCUUCGGCAAUGGACGGAAGUCUGACCGAGCAACGCCGCGUGAGUGAAGAAGGUUUUCGGAUCGUAAAGCUCUGUUGUAAGAGAAGAACGAGUGUGAGAGUGGAAAGUUCACACUGUGACGGUAUCUUACCAGAAAGGGACGGCUAACUACGUGCCAGCAGCCGCGGUAAUACGUAGGUCCCGAGCGUUGUCCGGAUUUAUUGGGCGUAGAGCGAGCGCAGGCGGUUAGAUAAGUCUGAAGUUAAAGGCUGUGGCUUAACCAUAGUAGGCUUUGGAAACUGUUUAACUUGAGUGCAAGAGGGGAGAGUGGAAUUCCAUGUGUAGCGGUGAAAUGCGUAGAUAUAUGGAGGAACACCGGUGGCGAAAGCGGCUCUCUGGCUUGUAACUGACGCUGAGGCUCGAAAGCGUGGGGAGCAAACAGGAUUAGAUACCCUGGUAGUCCACGCUGUAAACGAUGAGUGCUAGGUGUUAGACCCUUUCCGGGGUUUAGUGCCGUAGCUAACGCAUUAAGCACUCCGCCUGGGGAGUACGACCGCAAGGUUG
rnacentral:rRNA from 1 species